AAGAUUGAAUUAUUCAUUAAUAUGAAAGUCUUUGCUGACUAUUAAUUCCAACGCCAUGUGAGAAAUAUUAUGGGAAAUAUACGUCAACUCUGUGCGGCAUUCAAAUAAUUUAUAUUUACUCUAGAAAUUAAUUCUGCAAUUAAUUAUUUUGUAUCCUGCAUAUAACUUCUAACGUUAUGGUGCCCAUUUCUAGUCAGAUAAACUGUCGUGGUGGAUGAUGGGUCGGCAACCGUUGAAAUAUUUAUUGAUCUUAAAAAGAAAGGCGGAGCGGCGUUGCAAACCACGUUGAAAUCCUGCCCCCUUGCGAUCCGCCUAUAAAAAGCAUGUGCACCUCACACUCAUUCUCCUGAGUCUUUGAAGGCAUCUCAUAGCGUCGGCGACAUAGAACACGUUGAAGUAAUUAGGUAGUCCACGUUCUGCAAGAUGAUUAUAAGGUCCGCAAUGUUUGGAAGAGCAUACAACAGCGAUCAAACUGGAUCCAAAAAGAGGCUAUUAAACUUCCAAAUGUUCCAAGUUAUGUGAUUGUUGCGCUAAACAAGCACGUGCUGCACACAUGCUGCCUUGAGGUCAAGAGUGCUGCGGGCGAUCCUCAUCCACACAAGCUGCCUCUGGUGGUACUAUGCCAUAGUGAGCCACAUGAAGAUGGAGCCAUGAUCAUGAUGUCUGUAGGCCACUAGGCUGGCGAUCUUAAUCACAUGAACAGGCUGUCUCUGGUGGUACUGUGACAUAAUGAGCCACAUGAAGGGAGCCAUGAUCAUGAUGUCUGU